GAGUGGGUGGCGGCGGGGAAGAGGUUGCUGAGUUCUCAGCCCUCCCGGCGAGGGGUCCCCGCUGGCGGGGUCUGGGUGACCCCUCCCCCAGCCCGGGGAGACUGGAGCCUCUUCCCUGAGGGGGGGGUCCCCUCCCCCCAGCCCGCUGCGCUGCCUCCCGGGUUUCCCGCCCAGGGCCGCAGGCCCGGCUCGCGCCCCCCGGCCGAGCCCCGCGGGUAAGGCGCCUGCAGCGCGGCGGGGCGGGCGCGGCGUUGUCUCCUCCGCGCUGGGCCCGCGGGGUUUCCCAGCCCCGCAGAACUCCCGUCUCCCUCCUGGGCUGGUCCAGCACCACCCGCCUCCGGCUUCGCAGCGGGUAGACAACAGCCCCACGCCGCAGCCCGGAGCUGGGCCCCGUUCUCGUUUUCCCCGUAACGAGCCCUGUUGCUACCCUGCUUCCAGGGCCCCCGUGCUGCUUGGGCAUCUCCUGCCUGUCCGCCCGUGUCUUGGCCCAGCGCAGCCGAGGCAGAGAGCACAGGACCUGCCCGGAGCCGCAGAAGAAGUCCGAGGCCGAGCUGGGAAUUGGACGGAGAGCCCUGGAGUCCCGGCCCUGUCAGCCCUAAAACCCGCAGUUCUUUCCCCCCUGGAGGCCGUUUGUUUCCAUCUUCCUGUAAUCCAGGGGCUCUCAAACUGGAGGUCGGGACCCCUCGGGGGGUGGUGAGGUUAUUAUAGGGGGGUCGCGAGCUGUCCGCCUCCACCCAGGCCCCGCUUUGCAUCCAGCAUUUAUAAUGGUGUUAAAUAUGCAAAAAAGUGUUUUUAAUUUAUAAGGGGGGGGGUUCGCACUCAGUGGCUUGCUGUGUGAAAGGGGUCACCGGUACAAAAGUUUGAGGGCCACUGCUGUAAUGCUACUGGAUAGCAGACGAGUGCCUUGGUGCUCGGGUUUGCAACAGCGGCAAGCACUUGAAGAUGACUGAAGUUUUGCUGCAAGGAUCGAUGCAGACUUGGUGCAGCUGCUUAUUGUUUUUAUGUCUGUAGCAAUAUAUUAGGCUAAUAAAGCUAUGCCCGAGAGGGGAAUGGGGAGGCUCCAGUGGUUAGGACACAAGCCUAGAACGUGGGAAACCUUGCUUCAUGUUCCUGCUCUAUUACAAACUUCCUGUUUGACACUGAGUCCAUCACUUAGCUGCUCUGUGCCUCACUUCCCCAUCUGGAAAACUGGGAUAAUAAUAAUAAUAGCUAGUUCUUAUCUAGUGCUUUUCAUCAGAUCUCAAAACACUUUACAAAGGAAGUCAUUAUCAUUAGCCCCCAUUUUACAGAUGGGGAAACUGACGCAUGGAAGGGGGAAGUGACUAGGCCAAGGUCAUCCAGUAGGCCAACCGGAGAGCCCAGAAUAGAAAGAAGGACUUUCCUUCCUCAGGGUGGUAUUGUGACAAUAAAUACGUUACAGUUUGUAAGGUGCUCAGUAUGACAAUGGGGGCCAUAUAAGAACCUUAAAUAGACUAUAUUCAGUGUGAACAAGUCCUGCCAGUUGAGUUUAUUACUGUAAAUAUAUAUAUACUUACACAAAAAAUAUGUAUAUUUCCUUCAUGGAGUUCAUCAGUAAUAUAUCAUGUAGACAGGUAAUACUCAGUGUGACAACUUUAUUGCAAAUCUAUGAAAUACUCUGUCACAUGACAUGGCACAACCUAUGGCUUCUUAAGUCUGUUGAUACAAUCAGAAAUGCUUGGAUUAAAUAGAUGUGUAUUUAAAAGAAAAUCAUGCAGGGUACAUUCUUAACCAUGACUGUAAGUUAUUGUUAUUGGCCAGAGCUUGAGGAGGGCUGGAGUGAUGAAAUAGAGGACCAGAUCAUUAACUGAUUUAAACGGGCAUAGCAUCUUCUAUUUGAAUGAUGCUAUACCGGUUUCCACCAGCUCAGAAUCUGGCCCAGAGUAUUUUAACUAGAUUUUGAGAGUCAAGCUGGACACUUUCUGUGGCUUACAUGUGACCAUCAGUGAAAGAUUCUGCAGUUUGAAUUUAGCUUAUUCUAUUAGUGAUGCAUGAGCGAGAAUGGAAUCCAGCUCAUUCUCCCAUGAGCAUAUUAGGCUAAUAUUAAAAACUUAUUUUAGUCAGCAAAAAGCAGCUAUGACUUGGAACACAGGCAGGGAGUAGAUGUUAAAGUUAAGUGUAAAGUUUCCAUUUGUAAAUAGUCCUUUUUUCUGAUCAUAAGCAUGUUUUAAAAUUGUAAAUAUCAGUGGGAUAUUAACCCAUAUUGCAUAACUGGCCCUUUAUCUCCUUUUUCAAGGGGUAGCCGUUCCGAGGGAGGAGACUGAGUGGUAGAAUGGCCUUUGUGGUGGAGAUGGUGCCGAUCUUUAAGUUCAGCAUCUGGAAAGCUGCAAGAGUUUCAUUUACUUUUAGUUGCAACAGUCAUUUUCAGGCAGUCAAACAUUUUUCAACUCAGGAGAAGGAGCCCUCGCAAUCUGCAUCACCCCCAGGGUUUGGGAAUGAAGGAAAUUCACACCACCACGGCAGCCACCAUUUUCCAAUGUCGGGACUUGGGGAUGCUGCACAAGUGAUGCCUAAAUCACAUCCUCCUCACAAAAGCUAUAAAGGUCUCGCCCGUCAGAAGAAUUUGCGGUGGCAGUGGAAGUCUAACAUGAGAAGCACUGAGCAGGCUGCAUCUUCCAGUGAGGAAUUUAGGAACCUGAGAGAGGAUGACUUUUCAAAAGAGCGGAAAAGACAAGUGCCAAAGCCUACAUCCAUUGAAAGGACCAAAGGUUCGGAGAUCCUGUUUGGCAUUGCGCCCUGCUCCCUGGCUUUGUCGCAGUCAAAGAGGGACUUUUUCAAGUUAUUCCUCAAGUCGGGCAGCAGCUGCGCACGGCCUGUGAUGGAAGAGUUUGCCCAACGAGCUAAGGCCUGCGGGGUCCCCGUGCACCAUGUUAGAAGGCAGGUGCUGGAUGCCCUUUGCAAAGGUCAAGUCCACCAGGGAGUUUGCUUAGAGGCUACUCCUCUCCAUUUUAGGAGCUUGGAAGAAGCUGAAGCUUCCCAUGUUGGGGUUGCCACUGGACUGGGCACACAGCUGAUUUGGCUGGUGCUGGAGCAGAUACAGGAUCCUAUGAAUCUGGGUGCAGUGCUGCGUUCCGCGCACUUCUUAGGAGUUGACAGAGUGGUGACCAGCCGAAAGGACAGCUGCCCCCUUACUCCUACAGUGAGCAAAGCAAGCGCUGGAGCCAUGGAGGUUUUGGAAGUAUACAGCACAGAUAAUCUCCAGAGAUUUCUGAAGGGAAUGAAGGGUAUGGGCUAUCUUCGGAGACACAAAGUUUGUGCCACAGGAUGCUAAUCAUCCCUCCUGGAAGAACGUUGCAGCCUGGGAUCGAAUCAUUAAAUGUCUCUGUUGCUACUGGGAUUCUCUUGCAUUCUAUAUGCAGCCAAAAAAUAAAGUAACAGAAUGUGAUUUUUACCAUGAAUUGCGUAGAUCUUUACAAAUCCAACCCUUUUGAGCAGGGAAAACAGUUCAGCGUUGUGUGGUUUCACUGACAAUAAGUAGAGGUGGACACCCUUUUGCACUUUCCAGAGUCUUUGUACAGCUGUGAGCUCCUGAGAAGCUAAGGAGAAAGUAAACACUGAACCUUCUGCUGUGAAAUGUUCAACUUAAACUUUAGAAGAUUCCAGAUACCAUUCCAGGUUAUGUCCAAUGUCCUGCACUCCAGGUUGUCUCUGCACAAUAUUCCACCUGAGCAUUGGAUGCACUUGCUUCAUCAAGCUGUGUUUACAGACUGCAAAAGCUCCAGGAACCUGAUGAAUACAUAAACUCCCAAGAGACAAGAUUAAAGGAAAAUGUGACAGAGAGAGAGCUAGAUUUCAAAAGCGGAGCCAAAUCUCUCUGUGUUUACUGAUGCAAAACAGUCAUUAAAGUAAAUGAACCUUGGAUUUUUUUACACUAACACCCCUUUACAGAACUCAUUGCAGCAAAGAUCUCACUAGGAAUAAGGACUGCAGAGUCGGGCCUAUUCUGUAUUUUUUUCAUAGUGUGAUGGUGUUUCCCAUUCCACAUCACUGUUUGGACAUCUGAAAAAGUUGCAUUGAAUCUGACUGUAAAAUAGGUCCGUAAACUCAAUCGUGUGACAGAUGUGACCUAUAAUGAAACUCAGUUGAGGGGGAAAAAAAGUAACCCAUUGAAAUAAAACUGUCUAAAGAUUUGUCAUA